rnacentral:rRNA from 1 species
GAGACACGGCCCAAACUCCUACGGGAGGCAGCAGUGGGGAAUAUUGGACAAUGGGCGAAAGCCUGAUCCAGCAAUGCCAUGUGUGUGAAGAAGGCUUUCGGGUUGUAAAGCACUUUAGUUGGGGAGGAAAGCUUAUGAGUUAAUAGCUUAUAAGAAGGACGUUACCCAAAGAAUAAGGACCGGCUAACUCCGUGCCAGCAGCCGCGGUAAUACGGGGGGUCCGAGCGUUAAUCGGAAUUACUGGGCGUAAAGGGUCUGUAGGUGGUUUGUUAAGUCAGAUGUGAAAGCCCAGGGCUCAACCUUGGAACUGCAUUUGAUACUGGCAAACUAGAGUAUAGUAGAGGAAUGGGGAAUUUCUGGUGUAGCGGUGAAAUGCGUAGAGAUCAGAAGGAACACCAAUGGCGAAGGCAACAUUCUGGACUAAUACUGACACUGAGGGACGAAAGCGUGGGGAUCAAACAGGAUUAGAUACCCUGGUAGUCCACGCUGUAAACGAUGAGUACUAGCUGUUGGAGUCGGUGUAAAGGCUCUAGUGGCGUAGCUAACGCGAUAAGUACUCCGCCUGGGGACUACGGCCGCAAGGCUAAAACUCAAAGGAAUUGACGGGGACCCGCACAAGCGGUGGAGCAUGUGGUUUAAUUCGAUGCAACGCGAAGAACCUUACCUGGUCUUGACAUCCUGCGAACUUUCUAGAGAUAGAUUGGUGCCUUCGGGAACGCAGUGACAGGUGCUGCACGGCUGUCGUCAGCUCGUGUUGUGAAAUGUUGGGUUAAGUCCCGCAACGAGCGCAACCCCUUUUGAUAGUUACCAUCAUUAAGUUGGGUACU